rnacentral:rRNA from 1 species
GCCAGACUCCUACGGGAGGCAGCAGUGGGGGAUAUUGGACAAUGGGGGAAACCCUGAUCCAGCGACGCCGCGUGAGUGAAGAAGUAUUUCGGUAUGUAAAGCUCUGUCAGCAGGGAAGAAAGAAAUGACGGUACCUGACCAAGAAGCCCCGGCUAACUACGUGCCAGCAGCCGCGGUAAUACGUAGGGGGCGAGCGUUAUCCGGAAUUACUGGGUGUAAAGGGAGCGUAGACGGCGAGGUAAGCCUGAAGUGGAAGCCCGCGGCCCAACCGCGGAACUGCUUUGGGAACUGUUUUGCUGGAGUAUGGGAGGGGUAAGCGGAAUUCCUGGUGUAGCGGUGAAAUGCGUAGAUAUCAGGAGGAACACCGGUGGCGAAGGCGGCUUACUGGACCAUAACUGACGUUGAGGCUCGAAAGCGUGGGGAGCGAACAGGAUUAGAUACCCGAGUA